GGGAGAGAGAGAGAGAGAGAGAGAGAGAGAGAGAGAGAGCAGAGAGAGAGAGAGAGAGAUUUGAGUUAAUCAUGAUUAAGGUUGUGAGAUCAAUGAUCGAAUAAUCUGAUACUUUUACGCAUUCCUGCGUGUUAAGAUCAUGUUGAUGUGCCCUAU